rnacentral:rRNA from 1 species
UAAAAAAAGGUAAGCUACUAAGAGCGAAUGGUGGAUGCCUUGACUGGUAAAGGCGAUGAAGGACGUACUAGACUGCGAUAAGCUACGGGGAGCUGUCAAGAAGCUUUGAUCCGUAGAUUUCCGAAUGGGGCAACCCAAUGUAUAGAGAUAUACAUUACCUAUAUAGGAGCGAACGAGGGGAAUUGAAACAUCUUAGUACCCUCAGGAAAAGAAAUCAAUAGAGAUUGCGUCAGUAGCGGCGAGCGAAAGCGCAAGAGGGCAAACCCAGUGCUUGCACUGGGGGUUGUAGGACUGCAAUGUGCAAGAGCUGAGUUUAGCAGAACAUUCUGGAAAGUAUAGCCAUAGAGGGUGAUAGUCCCGUAUGCGAAAAACAAAGCUUAGCUAGCAGUAUCCUGAGUAGGGCGGGACACGAGGAAUCCUGUCUGAAUCCGGGUCGACCACGAUCCAACCCUAAAUACUAAUACCAGAUCGAUAGUGCACAAGUACCGUGAGGGAAAGGUGAAAAGAACUGAGGUGAUCAGAGUGAAAUAGAACCUGAAACCAUUUGCUUACAAUCAUUCAGAGCACUAUGUAGCAAUACAGUGUGAUGGACUGCCUUUUGCAUAAUGAGCCUGCGAGUUGUGGUGUCUGGCAAGGUUAAGCAAACGCGAAGCCGUAGCGAAAGCGAGUCUGAAUAGGGCGCUUAGUCAGAUGCUGCAGACCCGAAACGAAGUGAUCUAUCCAUGAGCAAGUUGAAGCUAGUGUAAGAACUAGUGGAGGACUGAACCCAUAGGCGUUGAAAAGCCCCGGGAUGACUUGUGGAUAGGGGUGAAAGGCCAAUCAAACUUCGUGAUAGCUGGUUCUCUCCGAAAUAUAUUUAGGUAUAGCGUUGUGUCGUAAUAUAAGGGGGUAGAGCACUGAAUGGGCUAGGGCAUACACCAAUGUACCAAACCCUAUCAAACUCCGAAUACCUUAUAUGUAAUCACAGCAGUCAGGCGGCGAGUGAUAAAAUCCGUCGUCAAGAGGGAAACAACCCAGACUACCAGCUAAGGUCCCUAAAUCUUACUUAAGUGGAAAACGAUGUGAAGUUACUUAAACAACCAGGAGGUUGGCUUAGAAGCAGCCAUCCUUUAAAGAAAGCGUAAUAGCUCACUGGUCUAGUGAUUUUGCGCGGAAAAUAUAACGGGGCUAAAGUAAGUACCGAAGCUGUAGACUUGCACACAACUUAGAUUAUUUAAGUUUAGAAUAUGAGAAACUAAGUUAUAUGUUUAGUUAUAUUUUUACUGAUUUUUAUAGAGUAAAGAUAGAAAUAAAACUUAGUAAAAUCAGUAAAAAUAUUCUUAGGCUAAAGUUAAGUAGUUUAAGUUGUGUGCAAGUGGUAGGAGAGCGUUCUAUUUGCGUCGAAGGUAUACCGGUAAGGAGUGCUGGAGCGAAUAGAAGUGAGCAUGCAGGCAUGAGUAGCGAUAAUUAAUGUGAGAAUCAUUAACGCCGUAAACCCAAGGUUUCCUACGCGAUGCUCGUCAUCGUAGGGUUAGUCGGGUCCUAAGUCGAGUCCGAAAGGGGUAGACGAUGGCAAAUUGGUUAAUAUUCCAAUACCAACAUUAGUGUGCGAUGGAAGGACGCUUAGGGCUAAGGGGGCUAGCGGAUGGAAGUGCUAGUCUAAGGUUGUAGGAGGUUAUACAGGCAAAUCCGUAUAACAAUACUCCGAGAACUGAAAGGCUUUUUGAAGUCUUCGGAUGGAUAGAAGAACCCCUGAUGCCGUCGAGCCAAGAAAAGUUUCUAAGUUUAGCUAAUGUUGCCCGUACCGUAAACCGACACAGGUGGGUGGGAUGAGUAUUCUAAGGCGCGUGGAAGAACUCUCUUUAAGGAACUCUGCAAAAUAGCACCGUAUCUUCGGUAUAAGGUGUGGUUAGCUUCGUACUAGGAUUUACUCCGAAAGCGAAGAAACUUACAACAAAGAGUCCCUCCCGACUGUUUACCAAAAACACAGCACUCUGCUAACUCGUAAGAGGAUGUAUAGGGUGUGACGCCUGCCCGGUGCUCGAAGGUUAAUUGAUGGGGUUAGCAUUAGCGAAGCUCUUGAUCGAAGCCCGAGUAAACGGCGGCCGUAACUAUAACGGUCCUAAGGUAGCGAAAUUCCUUGUCGGUUAAAUACCGACCUGCAUGAAUGGCGUAACGAGAUGGGAGCUGUCUCAAAGAGGGAUCCAGUGAAAUUGUAGUGGAGGUGAAAAUUCCUCCUACCCGCGGCAAGACGGAGAGACCCCGUGGACCUUUACUACAGCUUGACACUGCUACUUGGAUAAGAAUGUGCAGGAUAGGUGGGAGGCUUUGAGUAUAUGACGCCAGUUGUAUAUGAGCCAUUGUUGAGAUACCACUCUUUCUUAUUUGGGUAGCUAACCAGCUUGAGUUAUCCUCAAGUGGGACAAUGUCUGGUGGGUAGUUUGACUGGGGCGGUCGCCUCCCAAAUAAUAACGGAGGCUUACAAAGGUUGGCUCAGAACGGUUGGAAAUCGUUCGUAGAGUAUAAAGGUAUAAGCCAGCUUAACUGCAAGACAUACAAGUCAAGCAGAGACGAAAGUCGGUCUUAGUGAUCCGGUGGUUCUGUGUGGAAGGGCCAUCGCUCAAAGGAUAAAAGGUACCCCGGGGAUAACAGGCUGAUCUCCCCCAAGAGCUCACAUCGACGGGGAGGUUUGGCACCUCGAUGUCGGCUCAUCGCAUCCUGGGGCUGGAGCAGGUCCCAAGGGUAUGGCUGUUCGCCAUUUAAAGCGGUACGCGAGCUGGGUUCAGAACGUCGUGAGACAGUUCGGUCCCUAUCUGCCGUGGGCGUAAGAAGAUUGAAGAGAUUUGACCCUAGUACGAGAGGACCGGGUUGAACAAACCACUGGUGUAGCUGUUGUUCUGCCAAGAGCAUCGCAGCGUAGCUAAGUUUGGAAAGGAUAAACGCUGAAAGCAUCUAAGCGUGAAGCCAACUCUAAGAUGAAUCUUCUCUAAGCUCUCUAGAAGACUACUAGUUUGAUAGGCUGGGUGUGUAAUGGAUGAAAGUCCUUUAGCUGACCAGUACUA